UACGGAGGGAGCUAGCGUUGUUCGGAAUUACUGGGCGUAAAGCGCACGUAGGCGGCUUUGUAAGUUAGAGGUGAAAGCCCGGAGCUCAACUCCGGAACUGCCUUUAAGACUGCAUCGCUUGAAUCCAGGAGAGGUGAGUGGAAUUCCGAGUGUAGAGGUGAAAUUCGUAGAUAUUCGGAAGAACACCAGUGGCGAAGGCGGC
rnacentral:rRNA from 1 species